rnacentral:rRNA from 1 species
GACGAACGCUGGCGGCGUGCCUAUUAAAUGCAAGUAGAACGCUGAAGGAGGAGCUUGCUUCUCUGGAUGAGUUGCGAACGGGUGAGUAACGCGUAGGUAACCUGCCUGGUAGCGGGGGAUAACUAUUGGAAACGAUAGCUAAUACCGCAUAAUAGCAGUUGUUGCAUGACAACUGUUUGAAAGGUGCAAUUGCACCACUACCAGAUGGACCUGCGUUGUAUUAGCUAGUUGGUGGGGUAACGGCUCACCAAGGCGACGAUACAUAGCCGACCUGAGAGGGGGAUCGGCCACACUGGGACUGGGACACGGCCCAGACUCCUACGGGAGGCAGCAGUAGGGAAUCUUCGGCAAUGGACGGAAGUCUGACCGAGCAACGCCGCGUGAGUGAAGAAGGUUUUCGGAUCGUAAAGCUCUGUUGUAAGAGAAGAACGAGUGUGAGAGUGGAAAGUUCACACUGUGACGGUAUCUUACCAGAAAGGGACGGCUAACUACGUG